rnacentral:rRNA from 1 species
AGUCUGGUGCCAGCAGCCGCGGUAAUUCCAGCUCCAAUAGCGUAUAUUAAAAUUGUUGCAGUUAAAAAGCUCGUAGUUGGAUUUCUGGUACGGCGCACUUGGCCCGCUUCGGUUACGAGGUCGAGUGCCGGUGUGCGCCUGCCAUCCUUCUAGAGUACGUCUCUCCCUUCAGUGGGUUGGGCCGGAAUCUAGAUCAUUUACUUUGAAAAAAUUAGAGUGUUUAAAGCAGGCUUACGCUGUGAAUACAUUAGCAUGGAAUAAUAAUUUAGGACUUUGGUCUUAUUUUGUUGGUUUCUAGGACUAAAGUAAUGAUUGAUAGGGACAGUUGGGGGUGCUAGUAUUCAGCGGCCAGAGGUGAAAUUCUUGGAUUCGCUGAAGACUAACUUAUGCGAAAGCAUUCAUCAAGGAUGUCUUCUUCUAAUCAAGAACGAAAGUUGGGGGAUCGAAGACGAUCAGAUACCGUCGUAGUCUCAACUAUAAACUAUGCCGACUCGGGAUUGGUGAACGUUGCAUUUUCGACCUCAUCAGCACCGUAUGAGAAAUCAAAGUCUUUGGGUUCCGGGGGGAGUAUGAUCGCAAGGUUGAAACUUAAAGGAAUUGACGGAAGGGCACCACCAGGAGUGGAGCCUGCGGCUUAAUUUGACCCAACACGGGUAAACUUACCAGGUCCAGACAUAGUGAGGAUUGACAGAUUGAAGAUCUUUCUUGAUUCUAUGGGUGGUGGUGCAUGGCCGUUCUUAGUUGGUGGAGCGAUUUGUCUGGUUAAUUCCGUUAACGAACGAGACCUCGACCUGCUAAAUAGUUCGGCGAAGGCGUCAGCCUUUGUACGUGACUUCUUAGAGGGACUAUCGGUGCUUUAGCCGAAGGAAGUUCGAGGCAAUAACAGGUCUGUGAUGCCCUUAGAUGUUCUGGGCUGCACGCGCGCUACACUGAUGGUUGCAUCGAGCUUACAACCUUGAUCGGAAGGUCUGGGUAAUCUUUUUAACGACCAUCGUGCUGGGGAUAGAUUAUUGUAAUUAUUAAUCUUCAACGAGGAAUUCCCAGUAAACGCAAGUCAUCAACUUGCAUUGAUUACGUCCCUGCCCUUUGUACACACCGCCCGUCGCUACUACCGAUUGAAUGGAUUAAUGAGCUGCAGGGAUUGACGCGCUUGUGGGCAACUGCUUGCGUGUCGAGAACUGCAACAAAUUUGUUCAUUUAGAGGAAGUAAAAGUCGU